rnacentral:rRNA from 1 species
GACGAACCGUGCGAACGUUGUUCGGAAUCACUGGGCUUAAAGGGCGCGUAGGCGGGCGGUCAAGUCUGUGGUGAAAUCCUUCGGCUCAACCGGAGAAUAGCUGGAGAUACUGGCCGUCUCGAGGGGGGUAGGGGCAUGUGGAACUUCCGGUGGAGCGGUGAAAUGCGUAGAUAUCGGGAGGAACACCUGUGGCGAAAGCGGCUCACUGGACCACAACUGACGCUGAGGCGCGAAAGCUAGGGGAGCAAACAGG